rnacentral:rRNA from 1 species
GAUCCUGGCUCAGGAUGAACGCUAGCGACAGGCUUAACACAUGCAAGUCGAGGGGCAGCAUGAGGUAGCAAUACCUUGAUGGCGACCGGCGCACGGGUGAGUAACGCGUAUGCAACCUGCCCGAUACCGGGGUAUAGCCCAUGGAAACGUGGAUUAACACCCCACUAGUACUUUUAUUCCUGCAUGGGAUGUGAGUUAAAUGUUCAAGGUAUCGGAUGGGCAUGCGUCCUAUUAG